GACGAACGCUGGCGGCGUGCUUAACACAUGCAAGUCGAACGGAACGGCCCUGCCUUUGUGGGGUGCUCGAGUGGCGAACGGGUGAGUAACACGUGAGUAACCUGCCCUUGACUUUGGGAUAACUUCAGGAAACUGGGGCUAAUACCGGAUAGGAGCUCCUGCUGCAUGGUGGGGGUUGGAAAGUUUCGGCGGUUGGGGAUGGACUCGCGGCUUAUCGGCUUGUUGGUGGGGUAGUGGCUUACCAAGGCUUUGACGGGUAGCCGACCUGAGAGGGUGACCGGACACAUUGGGACUGAGAUACGGCCCAGACUCCUACGGGAGGCAGCAGUGGAGAAUAUUGCACAAUGGGCGGAAGCCUGAUGCAGCAACGCCGCGUGCGGGAUGACGGCCUUCGGGUUGUAAACCGCUGUCGCCUGUGACGAAGCGUGAGUGACGGUAAUGGGUAAAGAAGCACCGGCUAACUACGUG
rnacentral:rRNA from 1 species